AUGGAGACGGAGUGGAUCUCAGCUCCUGUCGACGGGAGGGCUCCAUUUUCUGGUUUUAGGGUUAAGACUUCUUCUGGCUGUGGGUAUCUCUGGAUCGUCAAUGAGCUUUAUCGACGGUUCUUCCUCCUUCAUCUUCGGGACGGAUGUGGUCUUCUUGACCCGUUCGGCGACUUUCCGUCCUCAUCCAACUACGUCAGGUCGACACGGUCUGGAGGUUGA
rnacentral:rRNA from 1 species